UCAUGUACUGCAAGAGGUUUCAAUAAAAUCCAGUAAACCGAGCUCAAUUCAAACUUCCUUAGAGCAUCUCCAACACUAGUCUUAAUAGGGCACGGGCCAUUUUUAGGGCAUGGGAGGGUAAAAAACGCUCACCAACAGCUGCCAAAAAAUAAAAUAAAAUAAAUAUUUGGGCAGCUAAAAGAAAGGCUCAGCCUGCGGCAAAUUUGCGGCACACAGCCGGCUGCCACAAACCAAAAACACCCCCGCAAUCGCACGCCUCCCCCAUCAUCGGCGCCAGAUCCGCAGUUGCCGCACCCUGCCGCCGGUCAGAUCCGCUUCCCCGACACGCCUCGCAACCGCCUAUGCAAGCAAUCGAGCCACCGCCGCCGUAUUGCCGCCCAAAUCCGUUGAAAGUCGUCGUUCGUCCUCACCGCCGCUUCCUCUCCGGCCAACCGCUGCCGGUUCUUCUCGGGGUUGUUGCCUCCCCGGAGGCGCCUGCUUCGUCACCGGUCGUCGCUUCGCCCUCGCCGCCAACGCCAUGGCUCCAGCGCGCAAGAACUCCGUCGGCUACAAUGGGGCGUCCCGUCGGCCGUUCGAUAACUACAGGAUGGAGUUCGGGCACGCCGGCCGCAUGUAUUGGCUUGGCACCUUCACGUCAGCCGACAUCGCCGCCCGCGCGUACGUCAUCACCGUGUGGAGGCUCGGGCUCCCCCGAUCGAAGCUCAAAAUUUCCGAAAAUUGAGACUAGCAGAUGCGGAGCUCGUUGGCCCACCGGUGACAAUUGAAUCGAGUCCGAUCGAGGCUGCUCGCAUGGUUAUCGACGAGCGCAACAACAUCUGUGAGAGCGACGACCCAGUGUUUUCUCGGUCACAUCCGGUGUAUGUGCAAGACGAGUGGGGAUUCUACUGGAAAAAGGAGGCGGAGAAGCGCGAGAACGACACCGAGCCAGGGCCUUCGUCGUCACAGAGCAAGAAGAAGAAGAAUGGAGGAGGCGACAAAGUGGUCAACGUCGAGAGUGAAAAAAGCUCACCUGCUGGGUUCCCAGCAGGAAUUAUUGUGCAGGGCGAAUAGCGCCAAUAUUUCUUGCUCGUUGGCCCACCACGCGCCCACGCCGUUGGCCCUUCUACCUCCACUUGAGGAGGUCGUGGAUGCCGAGUGUCCCGUGGCAACGGCCCUGCCGGUGGCCGAGGCACUCUGCCGUGCUGCCCCCCGGCCAAGGCCCCGUACAAGAGAAGAGCAAGCAUAAGCGGAAGAAGUAGAACGGCAAGAAGAAGAAACCCGUCCCCUCGCCGGAGCUGCUCAACCCACCUACGCCCGUCGCGCCCGAGCCCACGCCCACCACCCCACCUACGCCCGUCGCGCCCGAGCCCACGCCCACCACCGUCGAGGACAUAUUCGGCCUGCACCGUCCGCCAACGAUCUGGUAAACGAUGAACUGAUUUUGUUUUUCGAAACUGCUUUGCGCACGACGCCUGCGUGGCCGAUUCAUGCACGAUUCAAAAUCAUACGGUGUCCUGCAGUUUAUUCCCACAAACCAACGGCUUGAUUAACUACAUCGUCCACAAAUCGUGCACAUGUGUCGUGUGUAUAGCAUCGUUGUUGUUUUUUGUGCAGAGCGGGAGCGGCCGGCAGUACAGGCACCGGAAGAUCGUCGUACAGACAGCCAUGGCUGUGCUUCUGCUGUCACUACUUGUGAAAGUAAAACCCAGAAAUCGAUCCAUUUGUAUUCAUGUAUCGACUUCAAGUUCCAAUCAUUACCCUUGCUUGCUAUGAUAGCGAUCCAUCGUUUAGGCUGGAUCUCACCGAAAUAAAGAUUAACACAACGAUGCUCCACAAGACUAAAAAAUGCCGGCUUCUGAUCUCCUCAUUGCAGUGCUUGGCCUCGGUUAAUUUAAGAAUUCCAAAGCCGGAUCCAAAUCGACUAGCAGUAGACGACCCAACAACAUCGCCGGCGGGCGAGCAAGAAGAACCCGUCCGCGGCUCCACUCGCAGGCAACCUCGUAUUUCUUUCGCCCAGAGGGCUGGUGACGAAGGACCAAAGCAGUAAGAAGAAAUAAACUAAAUCUAAGUUAGUUGGAGCUCUUGGCCCACAAGGACACGUGGCACUCACCUAUUCGCCCUGCACAAUAAUUCCUGCUGGGAACCUAGCAGGUGAGCCGAAUCGGAUUCCACCGACCACGACAAUCUGUAGUUUAGUUUGGUUGUUUAAGUUUCAUGUAGUACUUUAACUAUAUUUGUGUAUGGUAUUUGAACUAUGUUUAAAUUUCAAUCAAAUGUUGUUUGAAAUAUGAAUUAUGGUUGAAGUA